rnacentral:lncRNA from 1 species
GACGAGGAAUUGCAUGCUGGUACUUAAAACUCCAACUCAAAAGUGACACACACCACUGUUACUUGUGUUUCAUUGGCCAAAUGAAGUCACAUAGUCACACCUAACUUCAAAGGGGGUGGAAGGAAAAGUAAUGGAAUAUGUGUGAACAGCACUGAUGAUUCCCAUAAUAAAAUCUGCCCUGAAGGAUUGUUGUGGGGACAAUGCAUUAAACUGCUGUCUCAGGAUGCUUGCAGCUACACGUGAGAGGAAACACCAUAUGAAUGUAUACAAUAAAGGCUUAAACAACAAAGGGAAUUUGUUGGCUCAUAUUUUUUGGCUACAGGAUGGUCUCAGGAUUAUCUACUAUUCCUUUCUUUCAAGUCACUUCACUUGGUGAAGAUAUUUCAGUGACGAAUCUGCAAACGUCUACUGGAUCUGAAAAUGCUUUGUAAAUGGAAAAGGCUGGACAAAGGCCCAAAGAGGGUACAAAGAUGAGUAAGACGGAUCCUCGACUUCAAGGAAGUCCAAGCCAAUUAAGA